AACGAACGCUGGCGGCGCGCCUAAUACAUGCAAGUCGAGCGAGAAGACGUAGCAAUACGUUUGUAAAGCGGCGAACGGGUGAGGAAUACAUGGGUAACCUACCCUCGAGUGGGGAAUAACUAGCCGAAAGGUUAGCUAAUACCGCGUACGCUCCUUGGACUUCGGUUCAGGGAGGAAAGCGAUACCGUGGGUAUCGCGCUCUUGGAUGGGCUCAUGUCCUAUCAGCUUGUUGGNGAGGUAC
rnacentral:rRNA from 1 species